CGCGUAGGAAUCUACCUAUUAGUGGGGAGUAACAUGGAGAAAUUACAUGCUAAUAACCGCAUAUGCCCUACCGGGUAAAGGAAGGGCCGUCUUCUUGAAAGACUCUUGCAGUAGAUGAGCCUGCGUCGGAUUAGCUUGUUGGUGGGGUAAUGGCCUACCAAGGCGACGAUCCGUAGCUGGUCUGAGAGGAUGAUCAGCCACACUGGGACUGAGACACGGCCCAGACUCCUACGGGAGGCAGCAGUGGGGAAGUAUUGGACAAUGGGCGCAAGCCUGAUCCAGCAAUACCUCGUGUGUGAA
rnacentral:rRNA from 1 species